CCAACAUCCAUACAACCAGUGAGCCCUUGUGCACCAAGUUUGCAUUCUCACAAUCUUUGACCACAAAGCUCAUUGUCCAUGAGGAUAAGUUUGACCCUCAAACAUGUAUUAAAGAAUUCCAGAAAGUUUACAGAGAUCACCAGCUCAAAUCAAAGGAUAUGCUAUACUUUGCAAUAGUGGACAGUGGACAUUGGGUCCUAGUGUGCAUCAACCUUCUCCUCAAACAAGUCAAUGUCCUCGACUCUAUGAUUGGUGUCAAGAAAACAAG